rnacentral:lncRNA from 1 species
GUAAAUCCUUCGCUAGUGUGUCCUACCUAAGCUUAUUUGUUGGUCAGGUCAUAAUAUAGGAAUAUUAUAUGACAUGUUAAAUUAUUUAAUUAACCCUUGUUUUAUGGCAGUAUUUAAGAAUGGCUGCUGAGAACGUUAACAAUGGAGUUUAUGAGACGGUGGAACAACCUUUAGUCACAAACCAGGAGAACGUGCAACAGGAAGGCAAUAUUCCUCCUGUAAACAACACUACCGAGCAAACGAUGAAUGAUGUGAUGUUUAGAAGCUUUUUGCAGUUCAUGCAAAAUCAGACGAGGGAGACUCGUGUGCAAAAUACGGGUGGAAAUGAUGGCAACGCACGGUCAGUCACAGCUAAGCAGUUCAAGGAGUUGGGACCAC